GACGAACGCUGGCGGCGUGCUUAACACAUGCAAGUCGAACGGGAAGGUCCUGCUUAUGUGGGGUGCUCGAGUGGCGAACGGGUGAGUAACACGUGAGUAACCUGCAACUGACUUUGGGAUAACUUCAGGAAACUGGGGCUCAUACCGGAUAGGAGCUCUCGCUGUUUGGUGGGGGUUGGAAAGUUUAGGCGGUUGGGGUUGGACUCGCGGCGUAUCAGCUUGUUGGUGUGGUAGUGGCUUACCAUGGCUUUGACCGGUAGCCUGCCUGCUAGGGUGACCUGCCAAAUUGGGACUGAGAUGCGGCCCGGACUCCUACGGGAGGCAGCGGAGGGGUAGAGUGCACUAUGGGCUGAAGCCUGAUGCAGCAACGCCGUGUGCGGGAUGACGGCCUGCGGGUUGUAUUCCACAUUCGUCUGUCACGAAACGUGAAUGACGGUAAUGGGUAAAGAAGCUCCGGCUAACUACGUG
rnacentral:rRNA from 1 species